GCUGAGUCAGGGUGUGGGGCUCUGAUUGGCUGGGCAGAGUCACUGACCUGGAAUCAGGAAGCUAAGGCCAGCCCCACCUUAAUCGGUCGGUGGCAGAUUUCCCCAAAGAAGUCAAGACGUGCUACCAAAGAGAAAGGGGAAUGGAUACUAGGCAUCGAAAAUCAGCAGAACUCUUACGGGCACGUGGUGGAGGAGCGGAGGGAGGCUGGGCAGACUUUAUACCAACCGUUCCUGCCUCCGGGGCCCAGCAUUCUAACAACUUCCCACCCUCCGAGGCAGUCAUACAAAGCAGAGCCGAUUCCUCCGGGAGCCGAGAGAAGUGCAUCAGCAGCUUUAGCUCUGCCAUUCCCUUACACGUAUUUAACCUCCUGGACGCAAGAAUUCAAUCUGGCUUGUCUGCCUCUCCCCACGGACCUCAGAAUCCAGCCGGAGCCACUCCAACAGCUGUGUUUCCCGCUCGGAAGGAAAGAGACCAAAUAAAGCAGCAGGACGAAUUACGUGUGCAGAAAAGCGCAGCGUGGGAUUCCGAGUCCAAAGACUGCCAGAGACUUUGCCACCCUUCAGCAUUACUCAGUGCCCCGGGAAGUGCUGGAGGUGGAGAGACGGCAGGGGGCUGGGAGCGUAGGGCCUCGUUGCACCCAUCUCUCCAUUGGCUUCAGCGUGUUCCAUCUCGCAGCCGCAGCCUGGGAGGCAGGGCUGGGGCAUGCCAGGUGCCCUGGAGGGGCCGAGGCCGGGGUUGGGUUCCUAGAGAUCUGGGGCUGGAGCAGGAAUUUCCACCCAAGCCAUCAUGA
rnacentral:lncRNA from 1 species